GUUCUCUGUCAUUCCAUAGGAAAGCUGUCUGGCUUGGAGGUUGCAAUCCCAGGGAAUUUUUCAUCAGCGGGGAAGUCUCCAUCACUACAGAGGAAUCAAGGGAGAAGUCAGUCCCUGGAAAGCUGUCUGGCUUGGAGGUUGCAAUCCCAGGGAAUUUUUCAUCAGCGGGGAAGUCUCCAUCACUACAGAGGAAUCAAGGGAGAAGUCAGUCCCUGACUGGUGUUUCACCUUGACAAGUUCUCUGUCAUUCCAUAGGAAAGCUGUCUGGCUUGGAGGUUGCAAUCCCAGGGAAUUUUUCAUCAGCGGGGAAGUCUCCAUCACUACAGAGGAAUCAAGGGAGAAGUCAGUCCCU